rnacentral:rRNA from 1 species
UACGGAGGGUGCAAGCGUUAUCCGGAUUCACUGGGUUUAAAGGGUGCGUAGGAGGGCAGGUAAGUCAGUGGUGAAAUCUCCGGGCUUAACUCGGAAACUGCCGUUGAUACUAUCUGUCUUGAAUACCGUGGAGGUGAGCGGAAUAUGUCAUGUAGCGGUGAAAUGCUUAGAUAUGACAUAGAACACCAAUUGCGAAGGCAGCUCACUACACGAAUAUUGACUCUGAGGCACGAAAGCGUGGGGAUCAAACAGGAUUAGAAACCCCCGUAGUCC